AAAUCGGGGCUAAUACCGGAUGUGUCAUCGGACCGCAUGGUCCGCUGAUGAAAGGCGCUCCGGCGUCGCCCAUGGAUGGCUUUGCGGUGCAUUAGCUAGUUGGUGGGGUAACGGCCCACCAAGGCGACGAUGCAUAGCCGACCUGAGAGGGUGAUCGGCCACACUGGGACUGAGACACGGCCCAGACUCCUACGGGAGGCAGCAGUAGGGAAUCUUCCACAAUGGACGAAAGUCUGAUGGAGCAACGCCGCGUGAACGAUGAAGGCUUUCGGGUCGUAAAGUUCUGUUGUAAGGGAAGAACAAGUGCCGCAGGCAAUGGCGGCACCUUGACGGUACCUUGCGAGAAAGCCACGGCUAACUACG
rnacentral:rRNA from 1 species